rnacentral:rRNA from 1 species
UACGGGGGGGGCAAGCGUUGUUCGGAAUUACUGGGCGUAAAGGGCUCGUAGGCGGCCAACUAAGUCAGACGUGAAAUCCCUCGGCUUAACCGGGGAACUGCGUCUGAUACUGGAUGGCUUGAGGUUGGGAGAGGGAUGCGGAAUUCCAGGUGUAGCGGUGAAAUGCGUAGAUAUCUGGAGGAACACCCGUGGCUAAGGCGGCUCUCUAGUACGGUACUGACGCUGAGACGCGAAAGCGUGGGGAGCGAACAGG